AUUUUUUUAAGUAUUUCUCAUGAGUUUAACCAAAUAUAAUUGGUUUUGUGGGAUGGGACCUUUAAAUCAAAAGUAACUAAAUAAUAGAAGACAGGGAUGUCCAAGUCCAGUUUUAAAGGGCCAGGGCUAAUAUUUUGGGAGGGUGGAGGGGGGGCAGGGGAAGGUUAGUAGUGCUUUGUUUAAUUACAUGCAAAGCAAAGUGCUUACUCAAAUGUUAAUUAGAAAAAGCCUAAACUUUUAGUAGCUGAUUGUGGCCCUCGAGAAUCUGCGUGAAUAUCUUAGAAAGAAAACAAAUCGCUACUAGUGUAACAAUAUAGGCUUUGGGGGCUGCACUAUACCCUUCUUACGCCUGGUGUUCUAAUGGGGAAACAAGGAAAACCGUUCCACUGAUAGCAAAUGACUAAAUAUCCCAUUCCACUUGGAGCUAUGUAAUAAACACAAGAAUAAUAUCAUUUGAGUGGCACAAAUCUCCUGAUCCCCUUCUAAUUAGACCACCAGCUCCUCUCUGCCUUCAAAGGUAAGCCACUGGACAUGAGCAGGACUUAAUCAGUGGUGAAAGAUGGCCUAGCAACAUGUAUUCUCCCAUCUCAGUGCUAUGCCUUUGAAGAUCUCCAUCAAUAGCAUAGAGGACCGUAUAUAAGCGAUAUAUUACAUAUCUGCAAAAUAUGAACAUGUGCUCAUUAUCAAAUUUCUGGCUAUAUGUACAUUAAUCGGGACAAACAAGAAUUGCUGCAGAUUUGCUGAGUUGAAAAUCUCUGUUUAGUAAAUAUUUUAAUGUGUAUCUAGAUGGAUGGAUAGAAAAUAAUUUUUUUUUAAAUCAGUGUUCCAAAAUAAAUACGGAAGUCCUCUUCAGGCUGCAAACGCGCCUUUAGUCAGCUACCAAGUCGUUACGUGGCCGUGUUUCAACUCUAAAGUGAAUCGUUCUCAAGCCUCCACCUUGCCCAGUCACCCCUUGGUGGCUGUAAUAAAGGCACAUUUGCAAAUUUAAGAAGACUUUGAUAUUUAUUUCAAAGCUGUCUGAUGGUGAUUGGUAUGGUGAAGAUAGCCAGUUGUUGCUUCUCUACACAGCUUUUGAAAAAGUAUUAACUAAAGUUUAACCUCGGAUGGCAAAACUGGUCAGUUACUAACUGACGGCUAAACUUCUGCUUUUAACAUAGUUGAUUGUAAUGAAUUUAAUUUUAUUUUCUUGGUUUCAUAAGAACAUUAAUAUAUACUAAAACAUAGCAGAGAUGACCACAUUCCACAGAUCUCUAAUGCGCAAUGACGAUCAAACCAUGGAGCCCCUUAACCAGUGAAAGUGUAAAAUUGGUUUACCAUAAUUUCUUGUAAAAAACCUUUUAAGAAGAAUGUUGCCCACAUUUAUUUAAAAUAUGCUGGUGAAUACCUUAAAAUAUACUAACUGUGUUAUUUUGGUGAAUGCAAGCCUAGUGAUUUCGAUGUUGCAAGGUACUGGAACCUGUUAAAGAAAAUGCACUUUUUGAUGUUAGAAAAAUAAAAAUGAAGGAGUUAUGUUGCCAUGGACUGAUUGAUGAUAUUCACAUGUAACUGCCUGUAAAUGCUUUGAAUGUCUUCUGUCUGUAUGGCUUUCUGUGUUUGUGUGCCUCUCUGCAGACAGUCUCACACAUGUAGUUUGAGGUUUUUAUAGUGUUAGAGUAAAACACUUGUGGAUAGUUCUGUACUGCUCGGCUCUGCUACAGCUCAACUGAUGUUGGUGCAUGCGCAGGUAAAUUAAACCAAACCAAUAUGGCGUUUAUUGGCUUAAUAACAAACGAGUGAAUUGAAAACCAAAUUGCAAGCCAAGCAUUCUGCAUUCAAAAACUGGUUCUGUGAGUCCGAGAAUUUUACCAAAUUACUUUAGACUAAAUUUUGCAAUUCACUACAUCUGCUGCAAUCAUUUGGUUUCCAGUUCAUUGCAAUAUGUUGAUUAGUGAAUAACGCUCUUAAGAAAAGAAAAAGUAAUUGUCAGGAAGUCACAGGGGAACUGCAAACUUCAGGGUAAAAUAACUGAAUUGAGUUGAAGACUUUAAAAAAAAAAAAAAAUCCACUAUAAUGUGCCUCUCUCAUGUAAGUUCCAGGUGCAUUUCGGGGUACUUUCCCUGUAAAACUAAGUCCAAGGAUCUGUUGGUAUUUUGCAAUUUGCCUGGCAGAUUUCAAGAUGCCGGAAGGACUGGGCUCUAGGACCAUGUAUGGAGCACUUACGAGCACUCCAUGCAUGGUCUGCUCUGAGGGGUCAGACACCAUGUAGCAAAAAAAUGGACUGUACUCCAGGUUUCCACACUGUACCAGUGAUGGAGAACUGCUCCUGAUAAGUGCUCCAGAACAAGAGGCUGGCAUGACCCUAACCACAGAAGAAGAUCCGGGCACUCAUAAAAACUUUUUUUGUGCAGACUUUAUUAGGAAUUGCAGGUUAAGAAGUUGCAACGUAUAUUUAUGACUUGACAAAGUAAGGCGUUUGUCAAGUCAUAAAUAUAAGUGAACUAGCAUUGUAUAUAUACACUAAACCAUAGGACAUACCCCUUCAAUAGUGCCCUGGGAAGGCUGCUUUCUUGUCUGUCCAUCUCCAUCCAGAAAGGUGGGCUGGCAAGAUUGGCAGGUAUGCAAUGUGUGUGUGUAUUUGUUCCUGUGCCUCUUUGUGUAUGUGUUUAUUUGCUUUUUCCUUUGUCUGUGCAUGUUUUUCUUUCUGUAGACAAAAAUUGUAUUUUCCAAGGAUAUGCACUAAGGUGUUAAUUGCUGGGAAUUCAAAGUAAAUUUUAAACUUGAGGCCACGUCCGCUAUAUUUUGAGUUUGUCUACUUUGGCCUAAAAUUUGAAAUUCAUGUGAAAUUCUUGCAAAUCCAUACUUUAGUGGAUUACCACCAGUCUCUUCGUUGAAACAAAAAAAUGGAUAAAAGUUAAUUGAUAGUUUUGUCAGAAUUUCAAAUUGCAAUUUUUAACUGCUGAACAAAAAAUGCUUAAGAUACACAUACCUAGGCAGGAUUCACCGCCCUGUAACACAAAUUACUGCAUUUCCAUUCACCAAAGUAACACAAAUGUUCUAUUUGCUGGCCUUACAGCAAUCCUGAUUUUAGCAGGACAGUCCUGAUUUUAGAAUCCUGCCCUGAUUUUGUUCCCUGGUGUACCGCUUUUGGGGACAGCACCUUGGCGUUGCAUUCACGCCAAGCUGACCUGUGAAUCCUUCAAGCAAACAUGCCUGUGACACGGUUUCACUGGUCUUCCCCCUUUAACCUGCCCAUCAGUGUCCUGCUGCUUGGGAAGCUGAUGUUGUCAGGGUGUGUAUUUCAGCUGUUCUGAAGACACACUGGGGAUUAUACAAAAAAUUGGGAAUUGUGGACACUAUAGAAAGAAAUAUAGGUCAAAAUAGCAGAGCUAGGUAAAAUAGCUUAAAAUCUGCGCAGUGGCUUAACAUUUGCAAAUUCACUUUUCUGUUCUUCUCCAUUCUUAGAUUAGCAAAUAAACCUCACUGAUAUAUUAUUUUUAUAGUAGUUGGAUCUUUUCCUUUAACAAUGUUGCAUAUUAUUAUAACUAUUAUCCACGACUACUUAGUUUUUGCAGAGUUGACUCCUGAAAUUCAUAUGAAACCUGGGAUAUAGAACGUAAACUGACACAGCAGGCUGGAGGGAUUGCCAUCCCUGCCAAAGGAAUGCCAUCUCCCACAGCCCUUAAUAAUCCAUUAUGGGAAUAAUAAGCAAAAAAAAACCAUGCAAAAAUGUUCAAAUUAAACAAAAUACUUGCAUUAUGCCUGGUUAUAAAGAUCAGAAACAGACUGAUACUUCUCAGCCAGCAUUGACCCUUUCAUUUAUUUAAAUUGGAAUGUAUUGCUCUCACUUGCACUGCAGCAGUGGUUUAUGGGAUACAUCUAACAGCGUAGAAAUGGUUAAUAAUGUAGAAAUAUGUUCUUUAUCGAGCUCUUUCACUCUGACAUUCUGGCUGCUUCUCAUUCAUGAAAGUCUAUAUGACAGUGAUAUACCUGCUGUGUAGGGGAUUGUGGCAGAUAAAAAUAAAUUUCCUAGCAUUUAUCUCUUUUUAUGUUAGGAGAUUGAGAAGAGAAGGGUAAUGCCAUGGCGCAGGUAAAAUUUUAAGUUUGUUUAUUAAGCAUGCUUCGGGCAAAAAACUAAAAAUUUUAACGUGAUUUUCGCACCUUGGGUGCCUGAAAUGUCCAUUUAAGGUAAAAAAGGACAUACAUGUGUAUAUAUGUAUAAGAAAAAAAUAUACAUACAGAAACUAAAUAAGCUAGUAUAUUAUGUUUAAAUAAAGAAAUAAAAAUAAUUUCCUUUAACUAAGGGUUUCUCAUGCACUAGUUUGAAAAUUAUUGAUUUCACAGACAGAAAUAUGGGACAGCAAAGCUGAGUCACUGAAAUGCUUGUUAAAAACCUGCAGUUAUAUUAAGCUGUGAAACGGUCAGAUAAUGUGCUGAGCAAAACCCUAGAGCUAUUAUCAUUGACUGGUUUGAGACCAAAUGGUACAUCUCUGAUAAAGAUAGGCAAGGUCUGGGUGUUCAGCUGCUAACAAGCAUGAUGGGAGUUCACUGCGGCUGUUAGGGGGCAAUAGAUGGCCUAGGACAGUAUAAAGAUGGCUCAUACAUGUAACAAUAGAGUGAGGGUAGUCAUAUACCAGACCUCGAGCUGUAGUAGACUACAAAUCCCAUGAAUCUUUCCUAUCCGGGUACUUUGUUUUUGCUUGUCAAGGUUUAUGGGAACUGUAGCCUGUCAAGAGCUGAAGGUCUGUGAUUUAAAUACCCCCAAGGAAAUGUAUAUGACUAGGCAGUAACAUACGUGAAACAGGAGGAUUAUAUAAAGCAAUAAAUAAGGAGCCAUUAUAUUGAGCAACAUAUUUCCAACCAGAAUCCCAUAAACCGAGCUCAAGUAUGAGACCAUAAUUCACAAAUAUGCCUAAUUUCACCAUUAACUAUCGUAUAGCAUUUAAAGGGACACUUGAAGUACCACAACUACCUAUAUAUUAUGUAAUAUGCCUUGUCUUGUUCUGUUGUCUGCAGUAACCACCUUGCUAACAGGAGCCCCCAUUCUGUCGCUAUGUACCAUGCCUUUCCCUCCCACACUGCCUUUCUUUAUAGCCGUAUGGGCUCAUGUUAAUUUGACCACUCCAAACCUCAGGCGUUUUUCAGUAAAUAGCCGUACUUGGACUUUCUGGCGGAAUUGACAACUGAUACUGAAUCUAUUUAAGCCUUAGACCAGUCAGGACUCAUUGCCCUUUUCUGGUUGUCAUAGUUCUUAAGUGCAUAUAUACAUGGAGUGCUUUUACUGUUAGUCUUAGCUGGUAUCUUAACCUUCCAGAUAUCCAAAAACCUUAUACCUUUACCUUGGCUCGUUUACAGACUUCAUGGUUAGCUCAAAACCUGACUUGAGCUAUUCUAAUGUAGUUGAUUUUUUUUUGUUUCUUUCAUCCUAUGUUUCACCCCUCCCUGGAGGUAUAUCCGUUAAUCCAGACUCUUUAAGGGCCAGUAAAUGUUUCCCUAUUAUGUUAACCUUGCUUUCUCUAUCUGGUUAGGGCCUGACAUACAUUUGUGGGUUAAUCUACUAGCUGAACAUUGCUUCUGUUAAUUAUAAAACAGAUCUGCAAUUAGCUUAAUUACUAAAAAAGAAAGGAGCAGAUGGGCUGUUUCUUCUGUCAGCUUUCUUAGUAGUUUCAUUCAUGUGCGAAAAUUUAUAGGAUAUGGUCCCUUUAAAAAGCAACAGGAAGGAUAGGAUUGGCUGAGAGAUCUUUCGUAGUGACUGCAGAAGCUGUAGAUGAGCAGUAACAAUGAAAUUUUAGAGGCUUAGUCAUUCUGUUGAUUUUCUUCAUUUAGUUACAUUUAUUUUUGCUUAUUUAAAAAAAGUAUCUAAUGCAUUAUAAAGAAAAUCCAUCUCUAGUGUGAAGAGAUACCCAAUGGUACGUCAUAGGUAUAGCACUUAUGGUAGAGAGGGAAGGUUAAAUCCCACACAUCAUAUAAUAUUUAGAUGGUCCAUAGCAUCCCAAGUACGACAGAUUGGGUAUUCCUGUCAAGGUGUCUUGAAAUCAGUCUUGAAAUAGUGUCUAAAUUACAGGGGAGGGGGGAGGGAGUAAGAUCUUUUUAGUUGAGCCCAGUUAGAUCAAGUAUACUGACAGAUCCUCUUUUUUGACCUAUGGUAAUAUUAAGAGAUUCUAAAGAGAACAGUUGUAUAUAAUAUUAAAACCACUUAUUCAUCUAAAGCACCACCAUAUAUUGUGGAGCUGUGUAAUGUAUGAAACAAUGUUUAGAAAACUUUGCUUUACUUUAAUGUCCGCAAAAGCGCAAAAGUACAGAAUGCCCUUCUCAUAUGAGCAUAUAGUGAAAUAAGGAAGGGUAUAAAUGGUCAAAUAUAUGUAGAUAAAGCAAAAGAGAAGCCUGGUCACUCACAGAGUUCUUAAAGGAUCAGUAUAGGGUCAGGAACACAAACAUGUAUUCCUGACCUUAAAGUGCUAAACCCACCAUAUAGGUGGCUUGCCCCACCCAUAACAAUACAUGUAACAAUAGAGUGAGGGUAGUCAUAUACCAGACCUCAAGCUGUAGUAGACUACAAAUCCCCUUUUGCUUUAUGUAUUCCUGACCUUUUAGUGCUAUACCCACCAUUUAGGUGGCUUGCACCCUCUCCCCCCUCCCCCCCCCUUAGCCUCCUUAUAAAAGUUUAAAACUCACCUUAUUUCCAGCGCUGACUCUGCCGAGGUUGGCUCCGCCUCCUUUGUGACAUCAUCGAAAUGGCUGAUUUUUAGCUUUUUUUUUGGCAAAAAUCAGCACUGGGGAGGGGCCAAAUGUAAUUUUGCCCAAUCAGGACCUCCUCAUAGAGCUGCAUUGAAUCAAUGCAUCUCUAUGAGGAACAUUAACGGCAGGGCUGCUUACUGUGCAGCUCUGAGCCAGGAAGCCCGUCCAGUGGCCAUCUGAGGUGUGGCCCCUUGGAGGUGUCCCUAGGGGCAAUGUAAACACUGUAUUUUCUCUGAAAAGGCAGUGUUUACAUGAAAAUGCCGGAAGGGAGCUAUUAUACUCACCAGAAUAUUAAACUGUAGUUGUUCUGGUGACUAUAGUGUCCCUUUAAGAACAUAUAUAGCAGGUAGAGAAAAGACCUUGAUGAAGACACCCAUAAUGAUAAGGUAAUGGGCAAUAUAGAGAUAUAUAAAUACUGCCUAUAUGAAACAUAUUAGGAAUUCACUUCUUGUUGUAGAUAAUUCUUUGCCUGAUGUAAGACUGUUAAAGCAUUGUAGAAGCUGGUGAUAUAUCCUUUUGCCUCCCCUGCAUUAGCAGUAGGCCUAAAGAUGUCUACAUAUUGUCUGCGUAUUCCCUAUAUAAACCCAUUAUAGCUGUAAUGGCAUUUUUGCCUGCAGCUUUUAACAUUGUAACAGAAAUUGAAAAAAACCUAUAUUUAAAAAAACAAACAGUUUCCAAAAGAUGGAUGGUCAAGACCACCGUAUAACACAACAUAAUUUGGAAUAUUUUUUUAUGUAACAAAUAUAUAUAUUAAGUUAAUAAAUGUAAAGAAAGACAUUUCCAAAUUCAUACAUUUAAACUCAGAUACUGAAUUCACUUUUUUUGUGCUUUCGAUACUUGUAUAUUGUGUAGGUGAGAUCUGUAGACAAUAAACAUAUAUUCCUGCAUCAGGGAGAACACAAAUGGGGAAAACACAUGUGCAUUCCUAAUAUGUAAUGGACUAAUUUAUCACGCACUUUAGUAUGGUUAUCACUAUGGGGUACUAGAGAGUGAGCGUAGAAACCUCACAUUUUAUCUGUAGUAACCCCCAGUCCUUUAAUAAAAAAACAAAAAAAAACAAUAUAAGGUAAAAACAAUUAAUUUAUUUUACAGAGGCUUAUUUUCAUAGUUUCAUAGAAUAACAUUGGAGCUCUCACUUUUUUGGGGUGGCUGUGCCACAGAUAUUCAGACACAAUGGAUCACAACGCAUAUGGGCAUCACACUCUGAAGGUAUCUGUUAAUUCUUUAGAUUUGCCCCAAAUGCUGAAUGUGGGGUAGAACGUGUAAGAAUUGUGGAAUGUUUCUCUUCUACAGCUGGAAAGUGCCCAGUCUUUUACUAUCCUACACGCUCAAACCUUCUCAUCUACCCUCUUCCCAACGAAGAGGGAAAAAUGCACAUCACACGUUCAACAGAGAUCCUGGGUAUGACCAAAAGUGGGCCUGUCAUGAAAAAUAUUGAGGUACCAGUGUGGAGCCAAAGAUGCUGUUGUAUGGCGCCAAUGGCACCAUACAGUUUAUGGUGAUAGUUGAUGUUGAAUUUCUGCCUUCUGUUCAUUUUGAGAAAUGUAUGAAGAGCUCAAACCAUAUUAAAUCAGUUGUGUAAUACAUUAGAACCUAUGUUUUUAACCCAGACUCCCAGACUAUCGGUAGAACAAGAAUUCCUGAGAACUUUUUUGUAACAGUGGGAUGUGCUAAAGACAUCCAUCUCUACUUUCAUUUACUUGUGUGCAGUCAUGGUACAUGUUAUAAUUCUGGAGAAAAUGUGUCUGGAAUCAUGUUUCUAAACAGAUUAUUACUGAAUCUCCCUAAAAGGUCACCAAGGUCCACCACACAAUUGCAACUAGGAUGAGCUAGUCAAUGGCUUGAGGGGCCAAAAAGUAGUUACUGCAAAAGUUUCUAAGGCUCAGUCGAAAAUACAAUAGCAAUGUAAGAGUAGAAAAACAGUUACCCAGAAAAUAAAUUAUAUAAACGGGGUAUUACAAUUUUAUUAUAUAUUACAUUUAGCGUUCUAUAUAAGAACUGUUAUAUGACAAAAAAAAAAAAAAAAAGACUUAUAUCUAUAAAUAGAGUUGGUAUAUUAGAGUGGAUUUUAAAUUAAAUGAAUGUUUUACAUAACACAUGGACUAUAACUAACGAUUCAAUACUGCAUCUCCGCAAGUUCAUUUGGUCUCCAUGUCUUGAUUUUGUCUUAAUCUCUUUUUUUUCCCCCUCAUAUGUUGGAAGUGUCUAACUAUGCUCCUUGUAUCUAUUUGAGCCUCAGGGAGAUAUUGAAUAUGUCAGUCUGUCACUGGUGAAAUACUUAUGUACUGUCUUUAAUAGCAGGAUAGGCAGCCUCAGGCACUUGAGCUGCAGUGGACUAUCUAUCCCAGGAGCAUCAUGGGAAACUCAGUCCAUAUAUAGAGUGCCAAAGCUGCCUAUCCCUGAUGUGUAUUAGAAAACUCAUCUUGAAUGUGUGCUUUUCUCCUUCAGUGAUCAACCUUAGCAUGUGCCACUGAAUUUUCAAAUGAGUUAACUUCUAAAAGCCCGGCCUGGCGCUGUCUGUGUCUGUUCGACUGUUUAUUUAUACAAAAUAUAACGUGGUUACAAACCUUCCUUUCAAAGCGUUAAUCUUGCUCAUAGAUAAUGACUCCUGCAAGAAAAAAAAAAACGGGAAAAAAAUAUUACAGAUUUUCUGAUUCC